CAGUAGCCACGGUAAUACGUAGGGUGCAAGCGUUAAUCGGAAUUACUGGGCGUAAAGCGUGCGCAGGCGGUUAUGUAAGACAAUUGUGAAAUCCCCGGGCUCAACCUGGGAACUGCAUCUGUGACUGCAUAGCUAGAGUACGGUAGAGGGGGAUGGAAUUCCGCGUGUAGCAGUGAAAUGCGUAGAUAUGCGGAGGAACACCGAUGGCGAAGGCAAUCCCCUGGACCUGUACUGACGCUCAUGCACGAAAGCGUGGGGAGCAAACAGGAUUAGAUACCCCAGUAGUCCUGUCUCUUAUACA
rnacentral:rRNA from 1 species